AGAGUUUGAUCAUGGCUCAGAAUGAACGUUGGCGGCGUGGAUUAGGCAUGCAAGUCGCACGAGACACCAAUUAGCUUGCUAAGAGGUAGACAGUGGCGAAAGGGAGAGUAACGCGUGGUUACUUGCCCUCGAGACCGGGAUAGUGUCGGGAAACUGGCAGUAAUACCGGAUAACAUCUUCGGAUCAAAUGGUGUGAUUCCGCUCGAGGAUAGGACCGCGUACUAUUAGCUUGUUGGUGAGGUAACGGCUCACCAAGGCUGCGAUGGUUACCGGGUGUGAGAGCAUGGCCCGGCUCACUGGGACUGAGACACUGCCCAGACACCUACGGGUGGCUGCAGUCGAGAAUCUUCGGCAAUGGACGAAAGUCUGACCGAGCGACGCCGCGUGCGGGAUGAAGGCCCUCGGGUUGUAAACCGCUGUCAGUAGUUAGGAAAUCCAUGAGGGUUAUCUCUCAUGGUUGACCGAUCUUCAGAGGAAGGACGGGCUAAGUUCGUGCCAGCAGCCGCGGUAAGACGAACCGUCCAAACGUUAUUCGGUAUCACUGGGCUUAAAGCGUGCGUAGGCGGCUUGGUAGGUGAGAUGUGAAAGCCCACGGCUCAACCGUGGAAUUGCGUUUCAAACCCCCAAGCUCGAGGAAGAUAGGGGUGAUGGGAACUUAUGGUGGAGCGGUGAAAUGCGUUGAUAUCAUAGGGAACACCGGUGGCGAAAGCGCAUCACUGGAUCUUUUCUGACGCUGAGGCACGAAAGCUAGGGUAGCGAACGGGAUUAGAUACCCCGGUAGUCCUAGCCGUAAACGAUGAACACUG
rnacentral:rRNA from 1 species